UACGGAGGGUGCAAGCAUUGAUCGGAAUUACUGGGCGUAAAGGGCGCGUAGGCGGUAAUAUAAGUCGGAUGUGAAAUUCCGGGGCUCAACCCCGGAGCAGCAUUUGAAACUAUAUAACUAGAGUUUACUUGGGGAAAACGGAAUUCCACGUGUAGCGGUGAAAUGCGUAGAUAUGUGGAAGAACACCGGUGGUGAAGACGGUUUUCUGGGGUGAAACUGACGCUGAGGCGCGAAAGCUAGGGGAGCAAACAGG
rnacentral:rRNA from 1 species